rnacentral:tRNA from 1 species
GGUUCGGUGGCCGAGGGGCUAGGCAGAGCUCUGCAAAAGCUUCUACAGCAGUUCGAAUCUGCUCCGAACCU